UGGCUCUCUACAAUUUAGAUGUUAUUCCAGUUUUCUUCCUGGUUCCAGUGAUCAUUGUUGUUAGCGUUUCAUAUCACCAGAUGAUGAUUCCACAGUAAUAUAUUCUGAGCUAGUUGCUGCCAGGAAACAAUAGAUGCAACAUGGGAGCUUAAAGAAAAGAAAUGUUGGGAAGCCAUCAUACCUUUCCUGGCUGUUCCAUAUCACGUUGCUCUAUUUGAAGAGACUGUAGUCCAUCUCCUACAAAGUAAAUUGCUGGCUGACAGCUGGAGCCACCUCUACUAUAAAUUAUUGGACUCACAAGCAAGUUGGAUAUCUACCAUCACCAAACACGGAGGAGUUAGUUUGUGUUUACACUGUUGUAACCAGGCUGGGAGCAGGUUUCCAGGAUUACAGAGUCUUACAUAAAGCAAAAUUUUCUCUUUCUUAAGUUCCAUAUCGACUGUCACAAAUCCUCCCUAUGAAUCCUUUCUAAUUCGUAUUUUGUAAGGGCGGGCUAGAACCCACAAACAGCAUUUACCCUAAUUCAUCUGCUGUAUUGUAAGGCUUUUAUUAGGCUUCACAAAGUUAUUUGAGUACUUUCAUCUGCGUUGUCAAGCUUCAUUUCCCACUUUUCCCUACAAAAUGUUGGUGAUGAAUAUUCACAAACCCUGGUGAGAGCUGAGCCAAAGACAUAGUUCAAAACAAUACAGCUGUAGCCAGAAAGUUGUACAGUGGGUGAACUGUUCUCAAUUCAUAUGCAUCUCUUCCAUCUCAAACCUUCAUCCUAUUUAAGUGCUUCAGAAAGAGAUAGCUAAUUUUUUUUUAAUU